CAGCCGCCGCGGUAAUGCGUAGGGUGCGAGCGUUAAUCGGAAUUACUGGGCGUAAAGCGUGCGCAGGCGGUUGUGUAAGACAGGUGUGAAAUCCCCGGGCUUAACCUGGGAACUGCGCUUGUGACUGCACAGCUAGAGUAUGGCAGAGGGGGGUGGAAUUCCACGUGUAGCAGUGAAAUGCGUAGAGAUGUGGAGGAACACCGAUGGCGAAGGCAGCCCCCUGGGCCAAUACUGACGCUCAUGCACGAAAGCGUGGGGAGCAAACAGGAUUAGAUACCCCUGUAGUCCCUGUCUCUUAUAC
rnacentral:rRNA from 1 species